rnacentral:lncRNA from 1 species
UCUUGUUUUUCCGCCAUUUUGAUUUUUUUUCAACGGCGAUAAAAUUUGACCAAGAUUUAAAUACAUUGUGCGAAAAAAAAAUUGAUCCAGAUGUGAUAGUUUUGCCAGGCCGUAGGGUGUCUCCCUGAUGCGGAGCAGGUUUUCAAGAUCGAGAAGUAUUUCCAUACUCAACAAUACGUUCCGAUUACACCCCCAUUCACAGUUUUUACCCCCGAGACAUUUUCUGGAAAAAUUAAAUUUUGUAUGGCGGCCAUCUUGUUUUUCCGCCAUUUUGAUUUUUUUUCACCCACAAUAGAAUUUGACCAAGAUUUAAAUAGGUUUUGUGAAAAAAGAAUCGUUCCAGGUGCGAUAGUUUCGCCAGACUGUAGGGUGUCUCCCUGAUGCGGAGCAGUUUUCCAAGAUCUGGAAGUUUUCCCAUACUCACCGGGAGGUCCCGAUCACACCCCCCAUACAUCAUUUUUACCCCCCGACGCUCCUUCUGGGAGAACAACCCUGUCAGUGAGUCAGUGAGUCAGUCAGUCAGUCAGUACAUGGGUUUGUAGCUAUAUAUAAUAUAACUAGAUGUCGCGUGGUUCGCUCGCAGCAAGCUGCUCGCGUGUCUUGUUUUCCCGCCAUUUUUUACCGCGAUAGAAUUUGACCAAGACUUGAAUAGGUCUCGUGAAAUCAAAAAAGUUCUAGGUGCUAUAGUUUUGCCAGGCCGUAGGGUGACCCCUGAUGCGGAGCAGUUUUCCAAGAUGACGUUCCGAUCACACCCCUAUACAUAUUUUUUGACCUUGAGGAAUUUUCUAGAAAAACAAAAUUUUGAAUGGCGGCCAUCUUGUUUUUCCGCCAUUUUGUUUU